CUAACCAAGGUGUUAACAUCAACCAGACCUUAGAGGAUCUCCUAACCAAGGUGUUAACAUCAACCAGACCUUAGAGGAGCUCCUAACUAAGGUGUUAACAUCAACCAGACCUUAGAGAAGCUCCUAACCAAGGUGUUAACAUCAACCAGACCUUAGAGGAUCUCCUAACUAAGGUGUUAACAUCAACCAGACCUUAGAGAAGCUCCUAACCAAGGUGUUAACAUCAACCAGACCUUAGAGAAGCUCCUAACCAAGGUGUUAACAUCAACCAGACCUUAGAGAAGCUCCUAACCAAGGUGUUAACAUCAACCAGACCUUAGAGGAGCUCCUAACCAAGGAGAGGACAGAGCAGGACAGCAGCCUUGCAACACAGCUGAAAGAGGUUCAGCAAGAGAGAGACGGAUUCAAGAGAGAGCUGGCUGAUCUAAUAAAGGAGGUGAGAGAGCUGGCUGAUCUAACAAAGGAGGUGAGAGAGCUGGCUGAUCUAACAAAGGAGGUGAGAGAGCUGGCUGAUCUAACAAAGGAGGUGAGAGAGCUGGCUGAUCUAACAAAGGAGGUGAGAGAGCUGGCUGAUCUAACAAAGGAGGUGAGAGAGCUGGCUGAUCUAACAAAGGAGGUGAGAGAGCUGGCUGAUCUAACAAAGGAGGUGAGAGAGCUGGCUGAUCUAACAAAGGAGGUGAGAGAGCUCCAAAAAGACAGGCAGUGCAGUAAUAACGACCUGACCUCACUAAGAGAGGAGCUGCAGGAGAGAAAGAGAACAGAGGACAGGCAGCAGGAACAGCAAGAUCACCACUCGAUAACCUGCCCUCACACAG
rnacentral:lncRNA from 1 species